AGAGUUUGAUCAUGGCUCAGAUUGAACGCUGGCGGCAGGCCUAACACAUGCAAGUCGAACGGUAACAGGAAGCAGCUUGCUGCUUCGCUGACGAGUGGCGGACGGGUGAGUAAUGUCUGGGAAACUGCCUGAUGGAGGGGGAUAACUACUGGAAACGGUGGCUAAUACCGCAUAACGUCGCAAGACCAAAGAGGGGGACCUUCGGGCCUCUUGCCAUCAGAUGUGCCCAGAUGGGAUUAGCUUGUUGGUGAGGUAACGGCUCACCAAGGCGACGAUCCCUAGCUGGUCUGAGAGGAUGACCAGCCACACUGGAACUGAGACACGGUCCAGACUCCUACGGGAGGCAGCAGUGGGGAAUAUUGCACAAUGGGCGCAAGCCUGAUGCAGCCAUGCCGCGUGUAUGAAGAAGGCCUUCGGGUUGUAAAGUACUUUCAGCGGGGAGGAAGGUGUUGUGGUUAAUAACCACAGCAAUUGACGUUACCCGCAGAAGAAGCACCGGCUAACUCCGUGCCAGCAGCCGCGGUAAUACGGAGGGUGCAAGCGUUAAUCGGAAUUACUGGGCGUAAAGCGCACGCAGGCGGUCUGUCAAGUCGGAUGUGAAAUCCCCGGGCUCAACCUGGGAACUGCAUUCGAAACUGGCAGGCUUGAGUCUUGUAGAGGGGGGUAGAAUUCCAGGUGUAGCGGUGAAAUGCGUAGAGAUCUCGAGGAAUACCGGUGGCGAAGGCCGCCCCCUGGACUUAGACUGACGCUCUUGUGCGAAAGCGUGAGGAGCAAACUGGAUUACAUACCCUGGUAGUCCACGCCGUAAACGAUCUCUACAUGGACGUUGUGCCAUUGAGGCUUGACUUCCAGAGCUAACUCGUUAACUAGACCGCCUGCGGAGUACUGCCGCCAGGUUAAAACUCAUAUGAAAUGACGGUUGCCCGCUCAAGCGGUGGAGCAUGUGGUUUAAAACAAUGCAACGCGAAGAACCAUAACUUGUCUUGGAAUCCAGGGAAGCUUUCCCAGAUUAAAUUGUGCCUUCUGGAAACAAUGAAACGGGUGCUGCAUGGCCGGCCGAAAAAUCAAGGUUGGGAAAUGUUGGGUUUACCUUCGGGCAACAAGAAGCACCCAGGGGCAUUUUUUUGCCAGGGAGUAAGUUUCGGGAGCUAAAAGGAAUUUGCCAAUUUAUAAACCCCCAAUAAAGGGGGGCGAGGACCUUUAGCU
rnacentral:rRNA from 1 species